rnacentral:rRNA from 1 species
CAUUGAUUACGUCCCUGCCCUUUGUACACACCGCCCGUCGCACCUACCGAUUGAAUGUUUCGGUGAAGAUUCCGGACUGUGGCUCGCGUGCUUCACGGCGCUCUUGCCGUGGGAAGUUAUCUAAACCUCAACAUUUAGAGGAAGGUGAAGUCGUAACAAGGUUUCCGUAGGUGAACCUGCGGAAGGAUCAUUA